AUUGAACGCUGGCGGCAGGCCUAACACAUGCAAGUCGAGCGGAUGAAGGGAGAUUGCUCCUGGCUUCAGCGGCGGACGGGUGAGUAAUGCCUAGGAAUCUGCCUGGUCGUGGGGGAUAACGUCCGGAAACGGGCGCUAAUACCGCAUACGUCCUGAGGUAGAAAGUGGGGGAUCUUCGGACCUCACGCUAUCAGAUGAGCCUAGGUCGGAUUAGCUAGUUGGUGGGGUAAAGGCCUACCAAGGCGACGAUCCGUAACUGGUCUGAGAGGAUGAUCAGCCACACUGGAACUGAGACACGGUCCAGACUCCUACGGGAGGCAGCAGUGGGGAAUAUUGGACAAUGGGCGAAAGCCUGAUCCAGCAAUGCCGCGUGUGUGAAGAAGGUCUUCGGAUUGUAAAGCACUUUAAGUAGGGAGGAAGGGCAGUAAGUUAAUACCUUGAUGUUUUGACGGUACCAAAAGAAUAAGCACCGGCUAACUUCGUG
rnacentral:rRNA from 1 species